rnacentral:rRNA from 1 species
GAUGAACGCUGGCGGCGUGCUUAACACAUGCAAGUCGAACGAAAAGGGGAUGCGUUAGUGGGGUGCUGGAAUGGCGAAUGGGUGAGGAACACGGGGGUAACCAGGCCUUGAUAACGGGAUAACUACAGGGGGCUGGGGGUAAGAAAGGAUAGGUGAUACUGCAGCAGGGUGGGGGUUGGAAAGGUUCGGCGGUUGAGGAUUGAGUCGCGGCUUAUCGGCUUGCUUGUGGGGUAGUGGCUUACCAAGGCUUUGCCGGGUAGCCGGACUGGGGCGGUGACCAGCCACAUUGGGACUGAGAUACGGCCCAGACUCCUACGGGAGGCAGCAGUGGGGAAUAGUGCACAAGGGCCGUAAGCCUGACGCAGCAACGCCGCGUGCGGGAUGGCGGCCUUCUGGUUGUAUACCUCUUGCGCCUGUAACGAAGCGUGAGUUACGGUAAUGUGUAAAGAAGCACCGGCUAACUUCCUU